rnacentral:rRNA from 1 species
AUACGUAGGUGGCAAGCGUUGUCCGGAUUUAUUGGGCGUAAAGCGAGCGCAGGCGGUUUCUUAAGUCUGAUGUGAAAGCCCCCGGCUCAACCGGGGAGGGUCAUUGGAAACUGGGCGACUUGAGUGCAGAAGAGGAGAGUGGAAUUCCAUGUGUAGCGGUGAAAUGCGUAGAUAUAUGGAGGAACACCAGUGGCGAAGGCGACUCUCUGGUCUGUAACUGACGCUGAGGCUCGAAAGCGUGGGGAGCAAACAGGAUUAGAUACCCUGGUAGUCCACGCCGUAAACGAUGAGUGCUAAGUGUUGGAGGGUUUCCGCCCUUCAGUGCUGCAGCUAACGCAUUAAGCACUCCGCCUGGGGAGUACGACCGCAAGGUUGAAACUCAAAUGAAUUGACGGGG